rnacentral:misc_RNA from 1 species
AAGUCGUAACAAGGUCUCCGUUGGUGAACCAGCGGAGGGAUCAUUAAUGAGUCUAAAAAACUCCAACCCGUGUCUACCAUACCUGUUCGUUGCCUCGGCGGUCAAGCCUGGCGCUCCUCCUCUGGAAGAGCUGCCGGCGGCCACCGUCGGGGGUUCCAAACCCUGAUUUUUAGUGUAUCUCUGAGACAAAAAACAAAUAAUUAAAACUUUCAACAACGGAUCUCUUGGUUCUG